GGAGAGUACAGCUCAGUGGUAGAGCGUGGGCUUAGCAUGCAUGAGGUCCUGGGUUCAAUCCCCAGUACCUCCA
rfam:Camelus ferus unplaced genomic scaffold scaffold1103, whole genome shotgun sequence.